rnacentral:lncRNA from 1 species
ACCCACUCAGAUCUCCUUCCACACUGUGAAAGCUUUGUUCUUUCGCUCUUUGCAAUAAAUCCUGCUGCUGCUCACUCUUUGGGUCCACACUGCCUUUAUGAGCCGUAACAGGUCUGCAGUUUCACUCCUCAGCCGGCGAGACCACGAACCCACCAGAAGGAAGAAAUUCCGAACACAUCCGAACAUCAGAAGGAACAAACUCCAGACGCGCCACCUUAAGAGCUGUAACACUCACCGCGAGCGUCCGCGGCUUCAUUCUUGAAGUCAGUGAGACCAAGAACCCACCAAUUCCGGACACAUUGGGAACUUAGAGCAGUGCUUGGGACAUCGUUAUCACCAUCAGAUAUUUCCUUAAACUAGCGUGAAGUCGACUUUAAUCUUCCAGCAGUGUGAGAGCCCUGGCCCUUCAAUCAACGCCCAGGGAGCUGCGGCUCCAGAGUGGGUGGGGAUGUGGGGUGCGCAUGCGUGCGGGGGUACGCGUGCGUGCGAGUGCGCAUGCGCGCGCAGGGCCGCUGAGGCGGGAGCCCCGGAUGCGGUUCUGGCUCGCUGAGUGGCGGUAAAGUACCGCGGGUGUCGUAAAAAGGCCGCAGUGGCAGCGCCCUGGCCCACGGCUGGUAGCCCAUUUUGGACGCCGUCCUCGUUAGGAAAAGUUGGGGCAACCUGUUGCUAGUCCGGUCGUUGGUGACAGCGAGGCUUCCGCGCUCGCUGCUGGUGGGCAGCCUCGGCGCGCCCCGCGGGCUGGAAGAGGCGGAGGCGUGAUGCGGCCCGUGGACGCGGAUGAGGCGCGAGAGCCCCGCGAGGACCCGGGGAGCCCAUUGAGCCCCGCGACCCGCGCCGGCCGCGAGAACCUGGCUUCCCUGGAACGCGAGCGCGCCCGGGCGCACUGGCGGGCCCGCAGGAAGCUGCUGGAGAUACAGAGCCUGCUCGACGCCAUCAAGAGCGAGGUGGAGGCGGAGGAGCGGGGCGCCCGGGCCCCAGCACCCAGUCCGCGCGCGGAGGCGGAGGAGCGGGUGGCUCGGCUGUGCGCCGAGGCGGAGAGGAAGGCCGCGGAGGCCGCGCGGAUGGGCAGGCGGAUCGUGGAGCUGCACCAGCGGAUCGCCGGCUGCGAGUGCUGCUGAGCCGGCGGGGCCGCGCGGGUCUGGAGCGGAGCCCGGCGGGGAGUGUCCCGCGUGGAAGGCGCUGGGUAGGCAGGGAGGGGAGCGCAGAGCUGUGCCACGCUCUCCGCCGUGUUGGUUUCAUUCUUUUUUCAUAGGUGGCCACCUGACGAACUGUGUUCAUCUGAUAAGGACUCCUGGCUGCUUGGACAGGCUCAAACCAAGAGAGCCUUUCGUUUUGUCUCCCCUGUUUUUCUGCCUGCGUUUUCUCCGCAUUAGCCACUCAAUUUCCAGUACCAUCCUGGUGGAUGACUUCAGCAUUAGAUGGUCAGGUGUAUCUUUUUAUUAAUAGGCGCAUUCAGUUUGGAAAAGACAGCUUUUCAUUAAUGUCCCGCGUAAAGGAAUAUGGCCUAUACAGUACGUACGCUGCGCGUGAUCAUAUUUGUUCCUGUGAUCUCGUUGUAUUUUCAGUUUGGAAAUAUACCCGUGUGCUUUGCUAUUUUUUUAUGCUUCCUGGAAUUUGGGGACUUAAUGAGACACUUGAGGUUAGAGUUCUGCAAGUGAGAAGACACCACAUGGUUGCAGCUGCCACAUCAAGAAGCCAAGCUCCUGUCAAAGUUGUGAAUGCGACUUUGGAUGAGAUUGAGAAGGCCCGGUGGACAGUUGGUCUUGAAGAGUGGCAGUGUGUGGAUUUGAGAACCUCUGCAGACCAUCAGAUCAAAGGAGGGAGAGCUGUUUUGGGUGUUGUGUUUUUUUUGUUUUUAUAGCAUUUUGCUUUUUCCUGGAAUGUAAUUUUCCUAUGGCAUGUUAACUGGUGCACAUCGUGUAACCUGUCUGGUGAGCAACCUACAAUUGGGAUGAGUUCUAGGUACAUGUGUUUGCUGACUUUGGGAUAAACAACUUUGUUAUAAUACAGUCUCUGCCACAGAUGCAUGUGACCUCUUCAGGGGCCCAGAGUGGCUGAGGAAGGAAAGCUUCAAGCUAGCCAUGGGGGUCCCAAACCGUCAUUCCAGGCUUAGAUGAUGUCUAGCCUAGGUCAUCAGAGCCCAGACUCCACAGAGACUAAAAUCAGAGCUCUGUCUUGUUAUGAUAAAGUUCAUUUGCUUGGAAAAACAAAUGCUGAAAGGCAGUUUUUAGAAUCUUUGUGCAGAUGACCAAAGCAAUUGACUUGGCCAAGAAAAGGUAAGAUAAAUAAACAUUUUUCAAAAUGA